GAGGCUGUGGCUCAGUGGUAGUGUACUUGCCUGGCAUGUAUGAGGCACUGGGUUCAAUUAUCAGCACCACA
rnacentral:tRNA from 1 species